UGGGGAGUCGCCAAGCUGGUCUAAGGCAGCGGAUUUUGAUUCCGCCAUUCGAGGGUUCGAAUCCUUCCUCCCCAGCCA
rnacentral:tRNA from 1 species